rnacentral:rRNA from 1 species
CAAUCGAACCCGGAGAUAGCUGGUUCUCCUCGAAAUAGCUUUAGGGCUAGCCUCGCAUUAGUUUACCGGAGGUAGAGCACUGAAUGGUCUAGGGGGCCUCACCGCCUACCGAAACCUAUCAAACUGCGAAUGCCGGAUAAAUGAUGUGCGGGAGUCAGGCCGCGAGAGAUAAGUUCCGCGGUCAAAAGGGGAACACCCCAGAUCGUCUGCUAAGGUCCCCAAGUACGCGUUAAGUGGGAAAGGAUGUUGGAUUGCACAGACAACCAGGAUGUUGGCUUAGAAGCAGCCACACAUUCAAAGAGUGCGUAAUAGCUCACUGGUCGAGUGAUCCAGCGCCGAAAAUGUAACGGGGCUAAAACGCGACACCGAAGCAGCGGGAUGCGUAAGCAUCGGUAGAGGAGCAUUGUGUGAGGAUAGAAGCCAGAGCGGGAGCACUGGUGGACUUCACAGAAGAGAGAAUGCCGGUAUGAGUAGCGAGACCCAUGCGAGAAACAUGGGCGUCGAAGGCCCAAGGUUUCCUGGGGAAGGUUCAUCCACCCAGGGUAAGUCGGGACCUAAGCCGAGGACUGAGGUCGUAGGCGAUGGACAGCAGGUGUAGAUUCCUGCACUACCGAUGGAAUGAAGCAGUGACACAGAAGGAUAACUCGAGCAGGGUGAUGGUCAACCCUGUGCAAGCAUCAAGGUUGGGUUGUAGUGAAGUACGCAACCCUAUAAGCUGAGGUGUGAUGCGGACCGAAAUUUCAGUAGGGAAGCGAGUGAGUUCACGCUGGCGAGAAAAGCUGCUAGUACAUCCAAAGGUACCCGUACCGGAAACCGACGCAGGUGGGCGAGGAGAGAAUCCUGAGACGGACGGGAGAACUCUUGUUAAGGAACUCGGCAAAAUGACCCCGUAACUUCGGGAGAAGGGGUGCCUCGAAAGAGGCCGCAGAGAAUAGUCACAAGCGACUGUUUAGCAAAAACACAGGUAUCUGCGAAAGCGAGAGCUGACGUAUAGGUGCUGACGCCUGCCCGGUGCUGGAAGGUUAAGGGGAAGUGUUAGGGGAAACCCGAAGCAGAGAACCGAAGCCCCAGUAAACGGCGGCCGUAACUAUAACGGUCCUAAGGUAGCGAAAUUCCUUGUCGGGUAAGUUCCGACCCGCACGAAUGGCGUAACGACUUGUGAGCUGUCUCAACAGGAGGCCCGGUGAAAUUGAAGUAUGUGUGAAGAUGCACAUUACCCGCGACUGGACGGAAAGACCCCGUAGAGCUUUACUGUAACCUGACAUUGGAUCUUGAUAACGGAUGCACAGGAUAGGUGGGACGCUGGGAGGUAUGGACUUUGGUCUGUACGGAGCGGACGUUGUUCGAUACCUC